UCCGGUUUAACACCGGCAGUCUCCCUAGAGUGCCCAACUUAAUGCUGGCAACUAAGAACAGGGGUUGCGCUCGUUGCCGGACUUAACCGAACAUCUUACGACACGAGCUGACGACAGCCAUGCAGCACCUAUCACCAAGUCUCCGAAGAGAACACCCUAUCUCUAGGGCUGUCUUGGGAUGUUAAGGCCAGGUAAGGUUCUGCGCGUUGCUUCGAAUUAAACCACAUACUCCACCGCUUGUGCGGGCCCCCGUCAAUUCCUUUGAGUUUUAGCCUUGCGACCGUAGUCCCCAGGCGGGAUACUUAAUGCGUGUGCUUUGGUACCCAGACGGUUAAACAUCCGAACACCUAGUAUCCAUCGUUUACGGCAUGGACUAC
rnacentral:misc_RNA from 1 species